rnacentral:rRNA from 1 species
CGUAGGGUGCAAGCGUUAAUCGGAAUUACUGGGCGUAAAGCGUGCGCAGGCGGUGAUGUAAGACAGGUGUGAAAUCCCCGGGCUUAACCUGGGAACUGCAUUUGUGACUGCAUCGCUGGAGUGCGGCAGAGGGGGAUGGAAUUCCGCGUGUAGCAGUGAAAUGCGUAGAUAUGCGGAGGAACACCGAUGGCGAAGGCAAUCCCCUGGGCCUGCACUGACGCUCAUGCACGAAAGCGUGGGGAGCAAACAGGAUUAGAUACCCUGGUAGUCCACGCCCUAAACGAUGUCAACUGGUUGUUGGGUCUUCACUGACUCAGUAACGAAGCUAACGCGUGAAGUUGACCGCCUGGGGGAGUACGGCCGCAAGGUUG